rnacentral:rRNA from 1 species
AUAACACCUGGAAACAGAUGCUAAUACCGGAUAACAACACUAGACGCAUGUCUAGAGUUUGAAAGAUGGUUCUGCUAUCACUCUUGGAUGGACCUGCGGUGCAUUAGCUAGUUGGUAAGGUAACGGCUUACCAAGGCAAUGAUGCAUAGCCGAGUUGAGAGACUGAUCGGCCACAUUGGGACUGAGACACGGCCCAAACUCCUACGGGAGGCAGCAGUAGGGAAUCUUCCACAAUGGACGAAAGUCUGAUGGAGCAACGCCGCGUGAGUGAAGAAGGGUUUCGGCUCGUAAAGCUCUGUUGGUAGUGAAGAAAGAUAGAGGUAGUAACUGGCCUUUAUUUGACGGUAAUUACUUAGAAAGUCACGGCUAACUACGUGCCAGCAGCCGCGGUAAUACGUAGGUGGCAAGCGUUGUCCGGAUUUAUUGGGCGUAAAGCGAGUGCAGGCGGUUCAAUAAGUCUGAUGUGAAAGCCUUCGGCUCAACCGGAGAAUUGCAUCAGAAACUGUUGAACUUGAGUGCAGAAGAGGAG